rnacentral:lncRNA from 1 species
AGAGUUGAUAAAAACUUGAAAAAGUGGUGUUUUAGAAAAGGUGAAAUUGUGAAAAGAAACAAGAAUAAUAAGUCACCUUUGAAAUUAUGGAGCUAGUAAAAAGAAAAACAAAAAGAGAGCUCAUGGUUGUGUUGUUGUUGAAAAAUAAGAAAAGAAGAAAAAAUGGGAUCAAAAAUAGAAUUUGUUAUUGAGUUUGAAUUUAUGGGAAUGCUCCCUUGGGAUAUGCAUUUUUGUUUGAAUUCCCUUAAUCAUACCCUUUCUUUGUAACCCAAGCCACAUUACAACCUUUGAAAGACCUCUUGAUUCUCAUUUUUUCACAUGAUUUAGUGUUUGCUUUG